UGGGGAGUAGCCAAGUGGUAAGGCAACGGGUUUUGGUCCCGUGACCGGAGGUUCGAAUCCUCCCUCCCCAGCCA
rnacentral:tRNA from 2 species